CAGUCGCCACGGGAAUACGAAGGGUGCAAGCUUUACUCGUAAUUACUGGGCGUAAAGCGUGCGUAGGUGGUUGUUUAAGUCUGCUGUGAAAGCCCUGGGCUCAACCUGGGAAUUGCAGUGGAUACUGGGCAACUGGAGUAAGGUAGAGGAUAGUGGAAUUUCCGGUGUAGCAGUGAAAUGCGUAGAGAUCGGAAGGAACAUCUGUGGCGAAGGCGACUAUCUGGGCCAUUACUGACACUGAGGCACGAAAGCGUGGGGAGCAAACAGGAUUAGAUACCCCUGUAGUCCCUGUCUCUUAUAC
rnacentral:rRNA from 1 species